CGGGGCGGGAGGGGAGGAGAGCCCCGCCCGCCCCGCACAAAGGCGCCCGGCCCCUCCGAAACUUUGCGCCCCGGGAGCUCAGGCCCGGCCAGCCCGUGACAGCGGUGACCCACGCCCCCGCCGCACCGGCCCAGAUCGGGCGCCUCGCCUCGGGCGCCCACGCGGAGCAGCGGCUCCCCCUUAGCAGGCGGCCGGGCCGAGCCCACUCCCCGCGCCGGAGCAGCGAGCGGCACGGCAGGUCCGAUCCUGCGUACUUCCCAGCAGACCACCUGGCCUUGAAAAGCCAGUCACAGAUCUCAGAGAGGACACGGAUACUGCGCCCCCAGAUGCCUCAGUCUAUGGAGGAACACUGUGUUAUUUCCUACAGGGAGGACGUGGAUAGGAGCUUAUUCCAUAUGUGCAAGAAAAAUCGAGACAGCUGCUACUGAUGAGGGUCACCGUUGAGUCCCUUCCUGCCCGGACCCACAUGGCUCCCAGCACUACAAACACAGCACACAUGUCCCACCCUGUGAGCACCCGAGACUGUCGCAGGACCAUGAGGCUCAUUCCACAGAUGGAGAUGGGCGUCUGAGUCCACACCUGGCCUGCAGCUGGCCAGGCCCCGGCCCCGGGCGGCAGCCUCCUGUGAGUGUCGUGUUGGGGAGUCCUCCGCAGAGAACCCUCCCCCACUGCCUGUUCCCAUCGACUCGGUCACCCUCCCUGGGCCUGUGCAGUCCCUGGGUGACUCUAGGCACCCAGCCUUCCACUCUCCCUAGGUCCCCUGGGCCACCCAGUCUCUAGCCCUGGCUGAGCGCCUCAGUCUCCCUCUUGCCCCAGGCAGACCUUCAGCUCAGAGAAAUUGUCAGGACCACAAGUAUUACUGACAGCCACAACAAAGCUGGGCCGGCUGACUGGCUUUCCUGAGGAGGCCUAGUCUUCGCUGGAAGCUGGAGAACAGCACCUUUGUCAAUAUGAGAGGCAGCCUAGGGAGCAGGCGCCUGCCACUUCCUUAACCACCCGAAGGCAUUCGGUGAACGUGUGUUCCAAAAU
rnacentral:lncRNA from 1 species